rnacentral:lncRNA from 1 species
CAGGUGUGCUCAGGCGAUCCCUCCCCUGGCAGAUGGAGUUGACUCCCAUCAGAGCCCUCCUGGACAUGAACUCCUGAGUGCCAGAAACAAGAUUCAUUUAAAGAUACAACUGUGAACGCUGCUGACCACAUUCCAGCGCAGUGUGGAUGUUCAACACCGAAGGGAGGGGACUCGGGCUUGGAUCUGCAGCUAGCAUUGGAUGGACACAGAAUCCUGAACUAUGCAUCGUGCUUUAGCUGCCAUGAAAAUUGAUUUUUUUUUUUUUCAGAAAGGAAUGUGCCAAUGAUGGGACUUAAGCUGGUGAAAACCACGUGGAACGGGAUGCUCAUGGGACCUGCCCCUUGGAGCUCCAGGCCUCCAGGCCUCAGUGCUGGUUUUCCUAAGUCCUUAUUUUCUCCCGUGUUUGGCUGGGGGCUGGUCCGACUUCUCCCUUUGGUGGACUCUCAGUUGUCAAGUGUGAAGUCUUUGAACUGCACACAAGAGUGGGGACAACGUUUCUAUCUGCAAAUCAAGCAAGCGCUUGGGCGAACAUCUUCCCAAGGCAGAGAUGAAGAAUGGGUACUCUAGGAUGCUCCAUUUUGGGACAAACGUCUAGUGGGGCCACAUUUGCAUGGCAACAUGCCAUUUCCACUUUUUCCGUAUUUAGAAGCUUCCCAUGGAGCUCCCGCUGACAGGAGCCACUCAUGUGCACACUGAGUGGAGGCUCAGAAGGAGGAUUUGUCGUAGAGUUGUUUUUCAGAGGCUGGGAGUCAGGGCUGAGGGCCAGCGGGUGGCUCUGCACCCCCAUCCCUCCAUCCCCUGUGGAAUGCCAGGAGUUCUCUUCUCCGUCCCUCAUGCGUGAUGGGGGACAAAUGUCUCCUCACCGGUGACAAUAAUGACAGGCUUCUGUCCAGAGGCAGGAGGGGGGCCAGUAUCAUGCACUGAAGAAACUUUCACAGCACAGUUGUCUGAGACAGGGAAACCCACACGCAGACGGCCAGGGGACCUUGACCUCCUUAGCAAACAGGAAACAAAGUGCUCUUGUUCUCAGGCCGGAAUGAAGCGGCUGUGCGAACACAUCCCAAUUGUACAUCUGAUGCUGACUCACACAGAGCGUUUCCAUUUUUAGAUUUCAGCUACAGAAGGCAGGAAUCCUUUGGACUUGGCCCUUUAUCAGUGGAAUGGACAGAGGUGAGCAGGCGUGGCCAGCAUGGCAUUCCCCUAAACUCAUCCUGGCACUGUGGCAACUCUUUGAGCAAAAUUCCCAGGGAUGUUGAGUUUGUUGUCAGCCACAAGUACUUCCGUUAAGGGCCACUAAGGGUUGUGUUCAUCAAAACUGUAUUUUACAAAUAUCUAAUAUGACCAAGUUAUGAAAGACUUUCUUUGUUCCAAACAAAUUUGGAGGAAAUGGACACACUUUGACUCAAUUUGUUAUCACAUUAGAAUGCAACAUUAUGGGCUGGGUGCAGUGGCUCAUGCCUGUAAUUCCAGCACUUUGGGAGGCCAAGGUGGAUGGAUUGCUUAGUUCUAGCUACUUUGGAGGCCAAGGUGGGAGAACUGCUUGAGCCCAGGAGGUCAAGGUGACAGCGAACUGAGAUUGUGCCACUGCAUUCCAGCCUGGGCAAGAGAGUGAGACCGUGUCCCCCCCGACUCAAAAAAAAAAAAAAAAAGAAUGUGACAUUACACCUCAUAAUUGGAUUGUGGAUAAUUUCCUUAUCUCAAAACAAAAUGAUGGCAGGAAAAUUGCCGAGCUUAUUUCUCUUUGAUCUGUGGCACUGGCUGGAUGGUAGAAGCAGAAUGCCACCCUCCAUUUAGCUGAUGACGAUGACCCACAUCUCCUUGCCUUCCCAGCAGCUCUCGGUGGGGUCUCUGUUGGGAAUGCCUGCUGAGACGGGACCAAGGACGGCUGCAGGAUGUGGUGUCUGUGCUCAGCGUCACCUCCUCCCAGGCUCCUGGGAAGCACCUGAGCAUCUCCUGACAAAGCCACCAUGAGCAAGACCCUCAGAGAAGGUAUGAAGAUGAGAGGCUGGUGUGAAGAGGCUGCUGUGAAGCAACUAUAUAGCAUCGGGCAGGACAUAAGGGGAAAUUGUUGCUUUCAUGUUCCUUUACCCCCACAGUUUGGAUUUCUGCCACAAGGAUCACUGUGGUCUUCCUCCCUGGGGCUCACUCCACCUACCCCACACCUCCCACCUCCCCCGUCCUCUCUUGGGGGACUUCCUGAGUUCUCGACAGAGCAGUUUCACUGUCUUCUCUCCACGCUUCCUGGACUGGCCCGCCCAUUUUUUUCUAUGACCCAGAAUUCCUUCCCAAAUAAGAGCGUCAUAUUCCUUGAGCCCCUUCACUAGAAGCAAGGAGAUGGGCAGGCGUUGAACUGCGGCUUUUCUCUAGACUCUUCCCUAAUCCCUAGGUUCCCCCAACUAUUUAGUCUAGAGCAAGCCCAGGAACAGUGAUUUUUUUUUUUUAACCUGCCAUUUCUGUUAUUCAAGCUGUUUUAGUCAGUUCAGGCUGCUGUAACAAAAAUGCAAUGGCCUGGGUGGUUUUAACAACAGAAAUGGAUUUCUCACAGUUCUUGUGAGGCUGGGACGCAGGAACCCCCACAUCCAAGUGCCAGGCAGUUCCGUGGCUGGGAGGGCUCCAGACUGGUGUGUGGAUGGCACCUUCUGCUGUGUCCUCACAUGGCUGAGAGAUGGGUCAUCUCUGUUCUUAUCAGGGCACUAAUCCCAUUCACAAGGCCCCCCAUGACCUAAUCACCUCCUAAAUGCCCCGCUUCCUAAUACCAGCACCUUGGAAAAUAGGGCUUCAAGAUACAAAUUUUGGGGGACUCAAACAUUCCAUCCAUAGCACCCGCUCAUGUGCUGUGAUGUCCAGUGAGCAGGCGGAGUUCCAGGGCUGGUCAGUGCCAGGUGCUCCUUCUCCCACCCGAGAACAGGGGCCAGGUUGCUCCUCAGGCACCCUGGGCAACUGCCCCUUCCCUUCCAGUGGGGCCUGACCUGGCUACCGAGCUUGGCAGCUAAUAGGCGGGCCCCUCAGCAUUCACGCUCCUGAGCUGCUUUAUCAAACUAGGAUUGUUCCCCCAGGUCUAAGAAAACCAUCCAUUCACUGCAAAGUUAUUUAUUACUGCGGAUGGGCUAGGAGUUAGAGGAAGAGAGUGACUCAAAUCACAACACCUCCUGGACGAAGCUGGAAGGGAUUAAAAUACGGCCUAAUUUCUCCCUUGCUGUGUGAAGCGUGUGGUUCUCCUAGAACAUCAGCCCGACUGUCGCUGGGUAGCGGCGGUACUGUUCAUUCUGCAUUAGCUUUGUCCAGAUUGUUCAGUGUGGGUCCCUGCCUACAGAUCUUGAUUCCUUGAGAUUGCCCUUUGUGCUUCUGUCUGGGGACUGCCUGUUUCUGUAAUGGCCACCGUCUCAGAACACAUGGUUGUAGGCCUCAGCAUUUGCCUUACACACAGCCCCCUUGGAGACAAACCGUGUCUGUGUCCCUCAGAAGGCCCUGACUUUCAGGGCACACUCCAGCCUGACUUUGGCACUCUGCUAGACACAUCCGAAACGCUGGUUCUCGUGUUGAAGUCUGUUAUGGAUAUGUAGGGUAAGGCAGGGAAACUGGAGCGCCUGCAUACCCUUGACUUCCUCCAUUUGGAAAAGAUAACCCUGAGACAUGGUGGAGGAGAAGGGGCCCUGACCUGUCAGCUACAUCUGGAUGUAACUCCCCUGAUGAAGAAAGUGCCAGAGGCAGCAAAGCAGCCCUUAUAGGGUAUUUUGUGCUCCCCCAACAGAGGAAGAGGAGCUUAGGGUCUCCAGGGAGAAUGUCUGGUUGUGAAGAGCCGCCAGGACCUGGAGCUGCACGGUUGCUCAGUGUGCAUUUCACUUGGUCAGCCCCUACGCUGGAGAGUGCUUGCAUCCGAACCUUCAGUGCCUGGAUAGACACUGAGCUGAGCGAACGGUAUGCUGGAAAAUGAAGCGUGCAAGUGACAAAGUGCUCAACUUAGACUCUGGGCAAAAUUCUCACAAAGGGCUUUCUAAUCCUCACUUAAUGGAAGAGUGGAGCAAUUUCCAGCAGAAGUUGUGGCUUGCUUCACCAGGUCUGCUCAGCCGGAGUGGGAGGUGACCCCAGGGGCCCAAGCUGGGGGCGUGGCUGGGAAAUGCACAGAAAGAGACUUCGACGGGGGUGGCUAUGGUUUGUGCUGUGCUGUGCACACGUCUGGCUGAUAGAAAUCUAUGUCUAUAAACAGGUAACACAAUUUGGUUUAUCAAACCCAUAAUAAGCAGAUUUUCUGACUUGCAUAAGAAUUUCUCUGUAAUCUUUGCUUUAAAGUCCGUUGAAUGCCAUAGAAAAAGUUGCAUUUGAUGAGGCUUCAGGAAAGAAAAGGUAACAAACUAUUCUAAGAGAUGAGGAUAGUGCCUGAGUGGGGCCCAGGACAGACAGGGGGUCCUCACCUCUUGCUGCUGGGGUUGGCUGCAGGGCUUUGCCUCAGUCUGAUUUUUUGCAGCAUCUACACAGUUUAAAUACUUGGAAAAAUCCUCUUUGUGAGUGUAUUAAGUCACAGCCUACCAAUGUGACAAAUGACAUCUAAAUGCAAUUUACAAAUCCUAAGUUCCAGGUAGAAGAGAACGUGGUAGGUCCACGUCUUCAUUUUCCCAUACCUUUAGUCCGUCGAGACUCCGCUUAGCCAGCUCUGGCCAUCCCUUUAUCCUCCUAGGAACAGAAUCUUACAUGCAGUAUUUUUACUGGUACGUAAAAAAUUUAAGGCUGCACUAAGCAGGCGCCCAGGCCCCCAGAGUCAGAAGGGAGUGUACGGUGCACACAUGAUGACGAUUUGAAAAGAGCCUGGCUUCAGGGCCUUGCAGAUGAAGCUAACAAACCCCCUGUUCGGGAGGGAGCACCUGCACCCCAGCCCCCUCCCUCAGGGAUGCAUCUGCAGCCACUCCGGGGCAGGGCUGAUGCCUCUGUGAUGGUCCCGAUGGUCCCGCCCGCAGCCUGCUCUUUGUGGCUCUUUGUUGCUCUUUGUCACAGUCCUGCUCAACAGCUGGUGCUUGCAGGAAGAAGCUCUCUGGCUGCAAGAAAGCCAGGGUGUGGGUGGAUGACAGAAUAAAUGGGAGGGAUGGAGGGCGUCUACUUGGCAGUUCGGAUUCCUG